UUUGUGUGAUGAAAAAUUUUCCAAACCAUUCGCAGUUUCCUCGGUAGCAUACGCUUGAACCCAUUCUGUAUGCCGGUGACCGCUGUAGUCCUUCCUAGGAUGUCUGAA
rnacentral:snoRNA from 1 species